CAAAGGGGCAUAAAAGGAUCACCCACAGUCCAUAACACCAUCUGGUUUCUUGCAAGGAAACAAGAAAGGAACUGUAUAUAAAUAUUUCCUCAGCUACAAGGCUUCCUGUUGAGUCCUUAGGCAGGCUUGCCUGAAAGAUUGAAUACUUGCCCACCUAGAGAAAUCAAUCAACUUUGCUGUAUCCCUCAGCUCACUAAAGCGGACUGCCCCAAGCCUUGUGGAUACAGCAAGAAGGUACCUGUCUGCAAGCAAGGAACAGAGUUCUCACCAGGAACUGAGUCAGCUGGCACCUUGAUCUUGAACUUCCAGCCUCCAGAGCUAUGAGAAAUAAAUUUCUGUUGUUUGUCAC